UGUUAUUGGAAAGAAAUCCCUGAAAAUGAAAAGAGGAAAAACAGUAGGGGGUUGGUUUGGUUAAUUUUUUUUUAAAAUUUUUUGAGAAAUAGGAAAAUAUUGUUUGGUUGAUAAUUUGUAUGUGCAUUUUUAAGAAAGAAAAGAAUAUAUUAUUUUAUAAAAAAAAUAGAAAAUGUUUAAAAGUUAGAUUCAUGUGUUUUUAUUCAACAAAAGCGUUCCAGAUUCUCGACACAAGUAUCCGAAAGAAUAUUCCGAUCUCUCUCUAUUUGGGUGUUGUCAAUAAAGCCCAAGCCCAUCUGCGAUUGGUUUAUCCUUGAGCCCAGCUCCAAGGGGGAGGCCGUGGUGGAGCGCCUCAUGUGAUGCCCCCGCUCAACUUCGCCAUGGUCGAUCACGGCAUCUACAGACUACAGCUCUGGCUACCCAGACACUGCUGACUUCCGGUUUUUUGAAACGCUUGAGCUUCGCUCCAUCUUGUGUGCCUUUGCCUGGACCCGUACCCAGUCGCGAACAUGGAGUUCCUUCGGGAAAACUGGAUUACUCUUUUCAAGAUUGAGAUCGAUGGCUCCAAGGAAGCCACUAUUCCAAAAAAUGGGAUUCGGGAGGCCCUUAAAAUUGUUCUUAGUACAAAACAUUUGCAAACCACGUUUCCUUAAAUCAUUAUUAGUUCCUGCUAUCUAUGUUCGUGCCACUCUAGUAUAUAAUAACUGCAGAUGUCAGCAAUCACCCACUCAUUCAUUGCAAACGUGGCAAGCAUAGAACAGGAAGUGUUGUGGGAUGCCAAAGAAAACUGCAACACUGGUGCAUCGCUUCAACUAUUGAUGAAUACAAUUGCUAUGCGGCUGCAAAAGCAAGAGUUUCUGAUCAGAAUUUCAUCAGAGAAUUUGAUGUAACAAGCAUGGCCGAGUUCCUGCUUCAAGCCAACAAGACAAACUUUUCUACUGAUGAUGAGUCCCUGCUUCUUGGAAAUUAACCUGGAGCAAUAAUUCUUUCGCAGCACUAAAGAAUUGGAGGAUCCUUUUUCUCUGAGAGAGAGUUUCAUACUAAAUUCAAUUCUAUGCUCGUUUUCCUGUUUUUACAAAUCUCCUCGUGUUCGAUAGCAAGCGGUUCAGGUGCAUUUUUUUUUUAGUUGAAGAUUGCUUGCUGCUACCAAAUCUGGAACAGGCGUGGGGAACAAUCAAAUUAAUGGCGCACUUCAUUUCCAAGUUUCAAACACUUUCAAAGUUGUUGAUAUUAAGAGUAUACGCCAUUUGA